rnacentral:rRNA from 1 species
UACAGAGGUCUCAAGCGUUUGUUCGGAUUCAUUGGGCGUAAAGGGUGCGUAGGUGGCGCCGUAAGUCGGGUGUGAAAUUUCGGAGCUUAACUCCGAAACUGCAUUCGAUACUGCGGUGCUUGAGGACUGGAGAGGAGACUGGAAUUCCCGGUGUAGUGGUGAAAUGCGUAGAGAUCGGGAGGAACACCUGUGGCGAAGGCGGCCGACUGGGCCGACCCUGACGCUGAGGCGCGAAGGCGUGGGGAGCGAACGGG